rnacentral:rRNA from 1 species
UACGUAGGGUGCUAGCGUUGUUCGGAAUCAUUGGGCGUAAAGCGCGUGUAGGUUGUUAGGUAAGUCGAUUGUGAAUCCCUGGGCUCAACCGAGGAAGUGCAGUCGAAACUACCUAGCUAGAAGACGGCAGAGGAAGGUGGAAUUCCUAGUGUAGAGGUGAAAUUCGUAGAUAUUAGGAGGAAUACCGGUGGCGAAGGCGGCCUUCUGGACCGAUCUUGACACUGAGACGCGAAAGCGUGGGGAGCAAACAGGG